rnacentral:hammerhead_ribozyme from 1 species
AUCUAGAUGACGAGUGCCAAUUAGGACGAAAUUCGAAUCCUAGAU